CCAGAGAACUUAGCAGAGAUGCUUUGGUGCCUUCGGGAACUCUGAGACAGGUGCUGCAUGGCUGUCGUCAGCUCGUGUUGUGAAAUGUUGGGUUAAGUCCCGCAACGAGCGCAACCCUUAUCCUUUGUUGCCAGCGGUUAGGCCGGGAACUCAAAGGAGACUGCCAGUGAUAAACUGGAGGAAGGUGGGGAUGACGUCAAGUCAUCAUGGCCCUUACGAGUAGGGCUACACACGUGCUACAAUGGCGCAUACAAAGAGAAGCGACCUCGCGAGAGCAAGCGGACCUCGUAAAGUGCGUCGUAGUCCGGAUUGGAGUCUGCAACUCGACUCCAUGAAGUCGGAAUCGCUAGUAAUCGUGGAUCAGAAUGCCACGGUGAAUACGUUCCCGGGCCUUGUACACACCGCCCGUCACACCAUGGGAGUGGGUUGCAAAAGAAGUAGGUAGCUUAACCUUCGGGAGGGCGCUUACCACUUUGUGAUUCAUGACUGGGGUGAAGUCGUAACAAGGUAGGCGUAGUGCU
rnacentral:rRNA from 1 species